GACGAACCGAGCGAACGUUGUUCGGAAUCACUGGGCUUAAAGGGCGCGUAGGCGGGCUGUCAAGUCUGGGGUGAAAUCCCGCGGCUCAACCGGAGAACUGCCAUGGAUACUGGGUGUCUCGAGGGUGAUAGGGGUAUGCGGAACUAUCGGUGGAGCGGUGAAAUGCGUUGAUAUCGAUAGGAACACCGGAGGCGAAAGCGGUGUACUGGGGCUGGUCUGACGCUGAGGCACGAAAGCCAGGGGAGCGAACGGG
rnacentral:rRNA from 1 species